GUGGGGAAUAUUGGACAAUGGGCGCAAGCCUGAUCCAGCCAUGCCGCGUGAGUGAUGACGGCCUUAGGGUUGUAAAGCUCUUUCGACGGGGACGAUAAUGACGGUACCCGUAGAAGAAGCCCCGGCUAACUUCGUGCCAGCAGCCGCGGUAAUACGAAGGGGGCUAGCGUUGUUCGGAAUCACUGGGCGUAAAGCGCACGUAGGCGGAUUGUUAAGUCGGGGGUGAAAUCCUGAGGCUCAACCUCAGAACUGCCUCCGAUACUGGCAAUCUCGAGUUCGGAAGAGGUUGGUGGAACAGCUAGUGUAGAGGUGAAAUUCGUAGAUAUUAGCUAGAACACCAGUGGCGAAGGCGGCCAACUGGUCCGACACUGACGCUGAGGUGCGAAAGCGUGGGGAGCAAACAGGAUUAGAAACCCGGGUAGUCC
rnacentral:rRNA from 1 species